rnacentral:rRNA from 1 species
AGUGAGAAUAUUGGUCAUGGGCGCAGCUGAACAGCCAUGGCGCGUGAAGGAUGAGGCUCUGGGUGUAACUCUUUUACAGGGAAAAAACUAUAGUUCUACGAUAGCGACGUACCUGGGAUAAGCACGGCUAACUCGUGCAGCAGCGCGUAUACGGAGGGUGCAGCGUUAUCCGGAUUUACUGGGUUUAAAGGGUGUGUAGGCGGGCUUUUAAAGUCAGUGGUGAAAUCUCCGGGCUCAACCUGGAAACUGCCAUUGAUACUAUUAGUCUUGAAUUUUGUUGAGGUGGGCGGAAUAAGUCAUGUAGCGGUGAAAUGCAUAGAUAUGACUUAAACCCCAUUGCGAAGGCA